CGAGCCGACCGGGCGGCCGCGGUACCGGCCACCACCUUCAUAACGGUGGCGGGCUGAGGAACGUCCGGGCUCCACAGAGCAGGGCGGUGGCUAACGGCCACCCGGGGUGACCCGCGGGACAGUGCCACAGAGAGCAGACCGCCCAUCGGAAACCGGUGGGUAAGGGUGAAAGGGUGGGGUAAGAGCCCACCAGCGCGACGGGUGACCGUCGCGGCUCGGUAAACCCCGCCCGGAGCAAGACCGCACAGCUGGCGUUUGAAGGCUGCUCGCCCGAGUCAGCGGGUAGGUCGCAUGAGGCCGCUGGCAACAGUGGUCCAAGAUGAAUGGUCGCCACCGCCCAGGCCGGCAACGGCGGGCGGCAACAGAACCCGGCGUACAGGUCGGCUCGUCCG
rnacentral:RNase_P_RNA from 2 species